rnacentral:rRNA from 1 species
CACGUAGGGCGCGAGCGUUGUCCGGAAUUAUUGGGCGUAAAGAGCUCGUAGGUGGCCUGUCGCGUCGGCUGUGAAAACUCGGGGCUCAACUCCGAGCUUGCAGUCGAUACGGGCAGGCUAGAGUUCGGCAGGGGAGACUGGAAUUCCUGGUGUAGCGGUGAAAUGCGCAGAUAUCAGGAGGAACACCGGUGGCGAAGGCGGGUCUCUGGGCCGAUACUGACACUGAGGAGCGAAAGCGUGGGGAGCGAACAGG